UGCGUGUAGCUGAGGUUCGGCCCGAGUUCAGACGGACUGUUCAGGUCGACACACUGAGGAGCGCCGUCCACGUACGUACGCCAUCUGCAAUGAGAAGAGAACGGAUAUCUCAAAACUACAGAGAGUCUGUUCUAUAUGGAAACUCUAUGAACGGUCCUAUCCUCAAAGACCAGGUCGUAGCAGAUGGCAUCAUCUGUUUUUCACCACCUCUCAACCUGGCUAAGCCUGAGAAGAGAGCUUUGUUGCUAUGGUAACAAUCUGUUAGAAGGUCAGUUAGCGAACUCAACUGUUUAUCCAUUACUUUGAGCUAACCUUCCAGCAUCACUGCUCCCAUUAGGAGUCAUAUUCACUGCUGAGUGAUAAAAUGAUCUCACUGCAGAUUCAGCAAACACACUGCAGAGCAACGAUGGUUAUUAUGACAUCAUGAUAUUAGCAUGACAUCAUGACCUGGGACCUGUUAGGAGUAUUUCUGUUGCCUCCACACAGCUCUCAACAUGGCGACAGCUGAGUCGGCGGUUCACAGCUAACAGCGCUAACAAUACCCCUCUAUAUCUUUACCUAGUAAAUGUUUGAUGCCAUAUUAAAGAUCCCAUAUU